GAUGAACGCUGGCGGCGUGCCUAAUACAUGCAAGUCGAGCGAACAGAUAAGGAGCUUGCUCCUUUGACGUUAGCGGCGGACGGGUGAGUAACACGUGGGUAACCUACCUAUAAGACUGGGAUAACUUCGGGAAACCGGAGCUAAUACCGGAUAACAUUUGGAACCGCAUGGUUCUAAAGUGAAAGAUGGUUUUGCUAUCACUUAUAGAUGGACCCGCGCCGUAUUAGCUAGUUGGUAAGGUAACGGCUUACCAAGGCAACGAUACGUAGCCGACCUGAGAGGGUGAUCGGCCACACUGGAACUGAGACACGGUCCAGACUCCUACGGGAGGCAGCAGUAGGGAAUCUUACGCAGUGGGCGAAAGCCUGACGGAGCAACGCCGCGUGAGUGAUGAAGGGUUUCGGCUCGUAAAACUCUGUUAUUAGGGAAGAACAAAUGUGUAAGUAAAUGUGCACGUCUUGACGGUACCUAGUCAGAAAGCCACGGCUAACUACGUG
rnacentral:rRNA from 1 species